rnacentral:lncRNA from 1 species
AACAAAUCACUUGCGGCCAGCUUCUUGAACAACGGGGACGGUGCGUUGAGCGUUGUGAAGAUCCAGACAUAACGUCCGAAUUACUCUUAGUCAUUCUAGAUCUUGAUUUAGCUCAAAACUCUAGAGAACCCUAGACUCCGACGUUGUCUUUAGAAAUGUUUGUAACCGUUCGCCCCAUGUCGGGGCUGAUUAGAUCAAGAUGUAGCUUUAGUUGCUUGAAUCAGGAAGUAGGGGUAGCGCAAGGACAAGGAGGUCAGUCUCGGUUACUAUUGCUUGGCCUGAAGAUGAAGUAUGGUAGGCCUAGAUGAUCUUGAUCUAUCUUCUUCGACUGGUUGAAAGAACUGCUGUCUCUUUGAGAUAAUGUUAAAUGGUACUACUAUAGAGAUCUAAUCUAGAUAUCUAGAUCUAGUUCCAAUGCCAAGUCAAAGUUAAGACUUCUGAGCCGACUGUUCGAUGAAAGUUUCCAGCGGCCACGCAACAGUCGACCCGACAGAAAGAAUCGGGAUUGCUGUAGGCUAGAGGAACGUUAUGAACUAAGUGCCAGACAUAGUGUGUCAGCUUGUCAUACCAUGAGUUGCCAGCGAUCACUAUAAGAAAAGGUUAUAGAUGACGUAUGCAAGACCGUGAUUUGGCAGUUCCUUCCCACCUCAAUUGCGCAACCAGAGUUGUGCUCUGACACCGCGGGGCAUCUAGGUUAAAGGAGAGUCGAUGACGCUUUGUGGGUUGUCCCCACUCGGGUUGCAUUCCUCGUUCCAUUCGUGUCUGGUUCUGCUUCCGAGUAUGAGUGGAAUUGCCAGGCCGUCCUCCCGCGGAGCUGUGACCUAUCUUGCUUUGGGGUGCGCCUGGUAGGGAUACUUGAGGUUCAGCAGUUCAUGUCUCAGAGCUCGUGGUACAGACGCAAGCUCUCACGACACACAUGUAGUUUGUGUCAAGCGGAUUUCCUCAUGUAGUUAUUGGAGAUAUAAAAUGGACCGUUGUGUUUUUAUCUGAAUUCCCUCACUUCUUGAUGCCUGCAAUUCCUUCCCCCUUUUCCCUUAAAAGUGGACUUCACCGAAUUUGUGAUGUGUACAAAAUGGAACAGACACUAAAAAUUUAAAACUUUUUGCAGACUGUUGUACAGUCUCCAGUUUUAAUAAAAUUCUUAACUGUAGAUAACAAGUUGGAUUGCUGAUUUAAGAAUAUAUAUUUUCAAAUCAACUAAGCAUGAAAGUUAAAAGAUAAUAAAAUGGCAUACACAAAAAAAAAAGAAAAGAAAAACAAAAUCUAUGCCAAGAUAUUGAACAUUCGUUGUAAUUUAAUAGUUGAUGAAGUAGCAACUCAUGUUUUUAUCAUGUAUGUGGUUAUGGGGGAAAUAAUUCCCACAGACCAAAAUAUGAAUGGAAAAAAAUUCUGCCUCAGAUCACGGGCAAAGAUGAUAAUAAAUAAUUCGUCAAAGAUCUGCAUUUCUCUGCGUCAUGUCUGUCAAUGUGACUACUACUCCUGUUUUUGUAGUGCUACUUACUUUCUACUAUGCAGUACCGUACUCAAGAAACCCCCCUCAAUAUGAUGAGGUUAAAUUUUUAGAGAAAGGAGACAAUAAUUUCAAGUAGACUUUGUCCAUUCUCCUGAUUUGAUGGAGAAGAAUUCAAUGUAGAUCUAGAUCUAGUCGAAUUCAGUUCAGGAAGAGAAUUUCCAGUGGAUAGCCGUUGACCCCUGCUGCGGUUGCAGGAAAAGCAUAAGGAUCAUGCUUCAUUCAUGGCUAGUUAUUUUGGGUAUAAAAAUUCCAUUAAAGGCCUGGGAAUUAAUUUUUGUGCUGGCCAUCCCUUGGUGGUUCUUUGUCCUUUUGGUCAGGUCUCACGGGAUACGUUUGCAUUGUCAGAAAUGUUUGACUUGCAAGCUUAGACUGGCGUCUGUUGGUUAAAUUUGUUAGGCUUUUCACUGCUGCAUGCAGAAACUUGGUGUUUAAUUCAUGAGAGUGGAAGUUGAUUAUCAAUUCUGUUUUCAUUCUGUUGGGAUGCUAUAUCUCACAGCCAGGGUUGGCCAUAACUGACCAGCCGCCUCCUUUUCCCAAAUGAUCGAAAUUGAGUCGAUGGAGGCUUAAAAAUCGGUAAAAAUUUCAGGCUGUUGAGCAUGUUUAGUCCUCUUGGAAACUUGUUUGUUUUCCUUUCACCGUUUCAAGUGCAGUACUUUUGUUAUCAUAAAGACACAGUAGAUCUGAAAGUCCAUUCUACAAGAGUAUAGUAGCCGAUUGCAGAUUUUCUUUUCUGCUGUCGAAGAAAACGCUUUGUUGAGCAUCUCGGCACUAGGCCUACCGUUACUUUUGUCUUUGCUCUGUCUGUACACACAUCCUGUUUGUAUUGAUGUGGGUGUUUGUUUCCAGUUUUCUUGUGAUUGUUGUCAUGUUUGUGAGAUGUUUUUGCUUUUUAAAAAAAAAUCUUGUCUUUCUCUCUCUGAUCGGACUUGAGAUCAAAGUGUCUAUCUAUAGUUCCACUUCUGCUUCUACUAUCUUCUUCAACUUGUCCUUGUUUGCUAUUGCUUGAUCUUUUCUGUAAGGCUUUCCUUUACACCUGCUGUAAAAUUGUAAAAUCUUGUCGCCUAUGUGUACUAUGUGAUGGUUUGUGAACUUGUUUUUGUGCUGGCCUUCAUAUUUUUUUUCUCUAGUUUGGUUGCCGUAUUUCUCCACUGGAAGUCCUGUCUGUCAGAAUGCCUUUUUCAUGGUACAAUACUGGUUCUUGUGAUUUUUCUUUUCUGUUUAUUGUUUCCUCCCUUUGUUUUUUCUGUCUGCCUUUACUUUUCCCCUGUUUUAAAAGGUUAUCGUUUUGGUUACUGUCAAUCGUGUACUCCUCUUUCUACUCAAACUUGGAACUAAACCUCAACUUGUAGUUGUGGGAUGUCAAGCCAACCUGUGUAUCUCUGGCACACUGCCUUUGCCUGUCCUGUCUCUCUUUCUCUCACCUCCUGUGACACUGAAGAAACAAACAAGCUUCUCCCGAAUCCUGCCACUUAUUGCGACUGCUGCCAAGUUGAAAGGGGCUGUCUGGUCUGCCAAUAUAAAUCAAUUGAAGGUUGCAAGUUCAUGGUGUGAUUGCUGACAAACGUUAUUGGUUCCGCUGAAUACAACGAGAUGGUCUGGUUGUCGAAGUGGUACGGUAUGUAUAUGAAGGAAUAAGUAUCGUAUGAACAGAAAUUUCAAUUGUCAGUGUACCGAUUUCGUCUUUUGUACUCGCAACUUUUCUUUGUAUUUUGACAUUGCGAUACCGUCUCUAGAAUUAGUUGGUACCUACAUGUUGUUCAUGUUCAUCCUAUCCCCAACCCCACUUUAUUUUUAUGGUGUUUUUUGACAAUGCCUUUUGUUGUUAUCUCCCCAUUCCCCCAUGUUCUUAUCAUUGAAUAUGUAAUGCAUUAUAAUUCAUUCUAACCAAUAUGUUAUGACAAACCCAUUCCCAAAGUUUUUAAAAAUUGUUUUCAAUUCCCUGACACAGUGCGGGAUCUAUACUUACUUUUUCUAUUUUAUAAGUUUUUAUUUGCUUGACUUGCUUUCUCUUUUGCUACUAGCUCCUCUGUGUGCUAGGUAAAUUUUUUUCAGCUUCCUCUGAACAUUGAACAUGAGUUGCACCCAGAAAAAGUCGUGAAAAUUGUUUCCUGCUCACCUCUUCUAUGGCCCUGAUACAUGCACCGAAGUUGACUGUGUGACCUUGUGCUUUCAGCUCUACUGCUGCCUUUCCAGCUGUAUUCACCACAGCUGUAUGAUCGAGCACAUGUGUUUUAACUUGUAUGCAUCGUUGUCUCAUGACUUUUUCAUACGUCAGUUUUUGGAGGACUUUGCAUGUAGACAACUUCUUUGUUUGGAUGGGGUGUGAGAGUGUUGGAUUUAUCUUUAGCUGGACAUUUUGCUCCGUAAAAUUUGAGAACAUAUUUAGUGGAAUCCCCAUUGUAGUAUGCGUCUGCCUUUAUUUUUAUAUGCGCAACUUUUUUGUUUGUUUGUUCAAAAUACACUUUGGUAUAUGAAACGCGACUUUUACUUAGGAUCAUAUCGUAAUGUUAGGUUUGAUGAUUUAGUUUGUUGCUCAACUUUGGGUCUGGACUGACUUGCUUAUUAGACAUGCACUGUUUACUGCUUCCUCUCUUUUCAUAAUGUGGUCCUGCCAACAUUAUUAUCUUGUUGCGAUUUCAGCAUUAACAUCAUCGCUUAGGCCUUCAUCUUUUUCUGUUUUAUUGUGUGGGCCCCCCUCCCCCCACCUUCGCCGUCACUUGAUACUGGUAAUACUCUUUUUUGUAAAAAGACCCAUUUAGUUUGGUGUUGGGUGAAAAUAUUACUAACCCAUUUUGUGUUGAUUUUUUUUUGGUCGUUUACUUUAUAUUAUUCUCUUAAUACAUUAGUUUGAAUGUCGUUGAUUAUGGGAAACGGAACAUUUCGUUAGACAAGUCAAGUCUCUUUGAAAAUGGAUACCCUUGGCUUUUGUUUGUCUGGUGCCAUACUGUUUGUUUGAUACUUUUGUAUUGUAUGUUAUCUGUCGAUGGAGUGCCUUGUGGGACUUGUGAACGGCUUAAAUAGUUGUUGUGUUUUUUCUUUGUGUGAAAAUUGAUCCUGGGUGGGAAAGUCGUGUGCUUUGCGGUUGUUAGAAAGUACUGGAUGCUCCAACUGUGUUGGCAAACUUUUGUUUCUUAUUAUGGGUGUGGUGAUGUAUUUAUAAGAAGAAAUUGAUUGGGGCCGUCUGUCGGAACAUUGCGGUACAAUACUCUGCAGUACCUGGUAACACUUCCAUGUGGUGGAAGCAGGAAGAACUGAUUUUGACGAAGAAGGAUCCUGUACUGAAAAGCUAUAAUUUGUUUGUUGCUUGUUGUUUUGACAAUUGUCUUGAUUACUGUACUAAAAACUCCCAACAAACAAAUACCUCCCCCCCCCCCCUCCCAAUGGUGCCUAAAGGAUGGAAAAGCACAUACCGAUUUGAUUGAUACAACUGUUUCUUUCAGUAACGUACGCCAGCAUAUUGGUUCGACUGACUGAACUUUUGUUUGUUUUGUGGCUACAUUGAUGAUUUGCUUUACAUGGAAAAAUGUAUGUUCAUAGACCCACUAAAAUAUAUAGAGGCUAUAUAUAUGCCAAAUCUACUAUGAGCAUUCAUUCAGUAAUAGAACACUAAUACUUUUCUUUCUGCCUUGGAAUAUCCACUGCUCACAAAAAAAACAUACAAAUACAAUGGGACAAUAUCCAUGAAGGAAUUAAUUGAAAUGCUGAUGUAAAAAGAAAAAAAGAAGAAAAAAAGGGCAAUAUAAUAUAAUGCAAAUGAAAA